rnacentral:tRNA from 1 species
GGAGAAUUGGCAGAAUGGUUCAAUGCACUUGUCUUGAAAACAAGCAUACCUUAAUUGGUAUUGAAGGUUCGAGUCCUUCAUUCUCCG